ensembl:lncRNA
GUAUAUUGUCACCCUACUUGUUUAACUUAUAUGCAUAAUCUCAGUUCAGUGCAGAUAUAUGCAUAAUACAUCAGGUGAAAUGCCAGGCUGGAUGAAUCACAAGCUGGGAUCAUGGUUGCUGGGAGAACUAUCAACAACCUCAGAUAUGUAGAUGAUACCACUCUAAUGGCAGAAAGUGAAGAGGAUCUAAAAAGCCUCUUGAUGCGGGUGUAAGAGGAGAAUGAAAAAGCUGGCUUGAAAUCAACAUUCAAAAAACUAAGAGCAUGGCAUCCAGUCCUGUUUCUUAAUGGCAAAUAGAAGGGGAAAAGUGGAAGCAGUGACAGAUUUUUUCUUGGGCUCCAAAAUCACUGCGGAGGUGAUUGCAGCCAUGAAAUUAGGUCUUUCCUACCUCUCCACCAAUUGGAACCAACUCCUCCCCCUUCCUCUUUCCAUCUGUGCUGGUCUUCCUGUGCUACAAACUAGCCAAGCUUCUUCCAUCCUCAGGGCCUUUGCACAAGCUUUUCCUUUGCCUUAGAAUUCUUCCCUGGCCUACCCACUUCCUCAUCCCUCUUGCCCAAGUUAAUGCCUUAUCCUUUAGGCUUCAUUUUAAACAUAUCUUACCCAGGGAAACUUCCCUGUCUAAACAAAUCUACAAUGGAUCUCCCUGUUAUUUGCUUUCACUGUUUCUCCUCAGCAUUUAUCCCAAUUCUAAUUAUACAGUUACGUUGCUGUUUUAGGUUUUUUUUUAUCUUUUGGCUGUGCUGCACUGCCACACUACACAUGGGAUCUCAAUUCCUCAACCAGGGAUCGAACCUGUGUCCCCUGCAUUGGCAGCGCAGUCUUUACUACUGGACCAUGAUGGAAGUCCCUUAUGUUGUUCCUUUAAUUUUCUCUAUUAUUGGAAUAUCCAUUUCAUAUAAAAUUUAAAUUGUAACAGGGUAUAAAGUCUCUUCCUUCCCUGUCUCUCUGCUACGGAUUUCUCCUCCUUACAAGUACUUAGUUUUAGCAUUUUGAAUAUCCUUUCAGAAAUAUUUUGAGUAUAUAAGCAAUGAUGUACAUAAUAUUCCUCUUUAUUUUUGCC